GGCGAACGCUGGCGGCGUGCUUAACACAUGCAAGUCGAACGGUAAGGCCCUUCGGGGUACACGAGUGGCGAACGGGUGAGUAACACGUGGGUGAUCUGCCCUGCACUUCGGGAUAAGCCUGGGAAACUGGGUCUAAUACCGGAUAGGGCCACUGCCUGCAUGGGUGGUGGUGGAAAGCUUUUGCGGUGUGGGAUGGGCCCGCGGCCUAUCAGCUUGUUGGUGGGGUGAUGGCCUACCAAGGCGACGACGGGUAGCCGGCCUGGGAGGGUGACCGGCCGCACUGGGACUGAGAUACGGCCCAGACUCCUACGGGGGGCAGCAGUGGGGAAUAUUGCACAAUGGGCGCAAGCCUGAUGCAGCGACGCCGCGUGAGGGAUGACGGCCUUCGGGUUGUAAACCUCUUUCAGCACCGACGAAGCGCAAGUGACGGUAGGUGCAGAAGAAGGACCGGCCAACUACGUGCCAGCCGCCGCCGUAA
rnacentral:rRNA from 1 species